rnacentral:rRNA from 1 species
ACGGAAGGCAGCAGUGGGGAAUAUUGGACAAUGGGGGAAACCCUGAUCCAGCGACGCCGCGUGAGUGAAGAAGUAUUUCGGUAUGUAAAGCUCUAUCAGCAGGGAAGAUAAUGACGGUACCUGACUAAGAAGCCCCGGCUAACUACGUGCCAGCAGCCGCGGUAAUACGUAGGGGGCAAGCGUUAUCCGGAUUUACUGGGUGUAAAGGGAGCGCAGACGGCAUUGCAAGUCUGAAGUGAAAACCCGGGGCUCAACUCCGGGACUGCUUUGGAAACUGUAGCGCUAGAGUGCAGGAGAGGCAAGUGGAAUUCCUAGUGUAGCGGUGAAAUGCGUAGAUAUUAGGAGGAACACCAGUGGCGAAGGCGGCUUGCUGGACUGUAACUGACGUUGAGGCUCGAAAGCGUGGGGAGCAAACAGGAUUAGAUACCCUGGUA